GACGAACGCUGGCGGCGUGCUUAACACAUGCAAGUCGAACGGAAAGGCCCUGCUUUUGUUGGUUGCUCGAGUGGCGAACGGGUGAGUAACACGUGAGUAAACUGCCCUUGACUUUGGGAUAACUUCAGGAAACUCCGGCGCAUACCCCGUAUGAGCUCUUGCUCCAUGUUGUUGGUUGGAAAGUUUCGGUGGUGUGGGAUGGUCUCGCUGCUUACCAGCUUCAUGGUGGGGUAGUGGCUGACCAGGGCUUAGACGGCUAGCCGGCCUGAGAGGGUGAACGGCCACAUUGGGACUGAGAUACGGCCCAGACUCCUACGGGAGGCAGCAGUGGGGAAUAUUGCAGAAUGGGCGGAAGCCUGAUGCAGCAGCGCCGCGUGCGGGAUGACGGCCUUCGGGUUGUAAACCGCUUUCGCCUGUGACGAAGCGUGAGUGACGGUAAUGGGUAAAGAAGCACCGGCUAACUACGUG
rnacentral:rRNA from 1 species